CAACUGCUGAAGAGUCCCAUAACAGAACGAAACGGCUGUUCAAUGU
rfam:Schistosoma mansoni strain Puerto Rico chromosome 5, complete genome